rnacentral:rRNA from 1 species
GACGAACGCUGGCGGCGUGCCUAAUACAUGCAAGUAGAACGCUGAAGAGAGGAGCUUGCUCUUCUUGGAUGAGUUGCGAACGGGUGAGUAACGCGUAGGUAACCUGCCUUGUAGCGGGGGAUAACUUUUGGAAACGAUAGCUAAUACCGCAUAACAAUGGAUGACACAUGUCAUUUAUUUGAAAGGGGCAAUUGUUCCACUACAAGAUGGACUUGCGUUGUAUUAGCUAGUAGGUGAGGUAAUGGCUCACCUAGGCGACGAUACAUAGCCGACCUGAGAGGGUGAUCGGCCACACUGGGACUGAGACACGGCCCAGACUCCUACGGGAGGCAGCAGUAGGGAAUCUUCGGCAAUGGGGGCAACCCUGACCGAGCAACGCCGCGUGAGUGAAGAAGGUUUUCGGAUCGUAAAGCUCUGUUGUAAGUCAAGAACGGGUGUGAGAGUGGAAAGUUCACACUGUGACGGUAGCUUACCAGAAAGGGACGGCUAACUACGUG